CAGACCAAUGGUGAAGACUCGUGACAUAGGAGUCAUGGAUGAUGAAAGUACAUGUCUGAAACUCUGAGGUCCAG
ensembl:snoRNA